UUUUUUGUGGAGAGUUUGAUCCUGGCUCAGGACGAACGCUGGCGGCGUGCUUAACACAUGCAAGUCGAACGGAAAGGCCUGCAGCUUGCUGCGGGUACUCGAGUGGCGAACGGGUGAGUAACACGUGGGUGAUCUGCCUUGCACUUCGGGAUAAGCUUGGGAAACUGGGUCUAAUACCGGAUAGGACAGCUGUUUAGUGUCAGUUGUGGAAAGUUUUUUCGGUGCAAGAUGAGCUCGCGGCCUAUCAGCUUGUUGGUGGGGUAAUGGCCUACCAAGGCGUCGACGGGUAGCCGGCCUGAGAGGGUGUACGGCCACAUUGGGACUGAGAUACGGCCCAGACUCCUACGGGAGGCAGCAGUGGGGAAUAUUGCACAAUGGGCGGAAGCCUGAUGCAGCGACGCCGCGUGGGGGAUGAAGGCCUUCGGGUUGUAAACUCCUUUCGACAGGGACGAAGCGUAAGUGACGGUACCUGUAUAAGAAGCACCGGCUAACUACGUGCCAGCAGCCGCGGUAAUACGUAGGGUGCGAGCGUUGUCCGGAAUUACUGGGCGUAAAGAGCUCGUAGGUGGUUUGUCGCGUCGUCUGUGAAAUUCCGGGGCUUAACUCCGGGCGUGCAGGCGAUACGGGCUGACUUGAGUGCUGUAGGGGAGACUGGAAUUCCUGGUGUAGCGGUGAAAUGCGCAGAUAUCAGGAGGAACACCGAUG
rnacentral:rRNA from 1 species